UGCCAGCCGCCGCGGUAAUACGGAAGGUGCGAGCGUUAAUCGGAAUUACUGGGCGUAAAGCGCACGUAGGUGGCUUGGUAAGUCGGAUGUGAAAGCCCUGGGCUUAACCUGGGAAUUGCAUUCGAAACUGCCUGGCUAGAGUAUGGGAGAGGGAAGUGGAAUUCCCGGUGUAGCGGUGAAAUGCGUAGAUAUCGGGAAGAACACCAGUGGCGAAGGCGGCUAACUGGCUCGGUACUGACGCUGAGAUGCGAAAGCGUGGGGAGCAAACAGGAUUAGAUA
rnacentral:rRNA from 1 species